GUUUCACAGUUGAGGAGGAGAAGCUGGGACUAGCAGGCUUCACAAGAAACACAAAGGUAUAGCCUUGCUCACUGCAUAUCCACUGACCUGACCCAUAGUACAACUCUAGUAGGAAUUGUUGGACAGAUGACUGAAUGAGGAGACUGAACUGUAGCCAGCUCUAGAGAUUAAAAAAAGUCAUGGAGAUUCAGAAAGACAGGAAGUUACUGCAUAUAAAGGUUAACACCCACCCUCACCUUCUACAAACAGCCUUAGCUAAAGAUACCUGGGAGGAGCUUGUAGAAGAUGCCACUCUCUGCAAUCCAGAGGAAAAUGUCUCUCCCUUUGAGCAGAUCAUUUCUACCAAGGUCAAACUCAUAUUUUACAUUGAGUUUGUAUGGAAAAAAAAAUCAGAUGUUUAAUUUUUCAUGUAAUCAAAGAACAAUAACAAAAGCAAACCUUCACUUGAGGACUGACUCUGGACUGGUUCUGGAAGCUGUACAAGGGACAUCCCCAGCCACGUGGUAACUGGCAUGAGCCCACAAUUAAUAUGCAUUAAAUCAGUCACUCCUCAAGUCAAA
rnacentral:sRNA from 1 species